GAGUAAUAUCGCGCAUGGCAGGGUUUUGUUCCCGACAAAUCCUAAGUACCUACAUCCAUGUAGGCAAUGCGCGAUAAGGCGAAACUAGGCCAUGGAUGGCCUAUCUUCGCCGUUUACGUUCACAUCUAUUACA
rfam:Pseudoalteromonas marina DSM 17587 strain mano4 contig005, whole genome shotgun sequence.